UUUGAAUACCACAGAAAUGGAAAAUUUCAAUCUUUCGUGAUGGAUAAAAGAACGAAUCACAUAUUUGUCUUUAUCUGAGGGAAACCUUGCGAUAUCUCAAGAAAAUAGUCUCGCGAAAUAUCUUGAAAAUCGCAAUGGAAUAAUGACGAGAUCAUGCCGAAUAUGUUCAUUCAGCGUCCGUCUUGGGGUCCGCAAAAUCCUUAAAAUAACGGAUGAUGAUUGUCUGAGAACACAAAUGUUCUCGGCUGUUUGUCAAUUCCGAUUAAAGGCGAUAUGAUUAUAAAAAAUAAAUAUUGAAGAGAUACGAGGAAAAGAUUGAUUUCGCAAUCGCAAUGCUGAAAACAGCUUGAAAUCACGGCUAAAGUUGAAUGCUGCGCCGUAAAACGACGAAAAGCGAGGCAGAGAAGGAAAGUUACAAAUGCAAAAGAAGAAAGA